GGUGGGUCGCUCCUCUCGGUUCUGCUCUCUGAAGACAUUACGAAAGUGCCGGAAGUGGCCGAACAGUCAAACUGUUUGUGGAAACAGAGCUCCGGAGAUUAAUGAGCGUGUUGCUGUUCCUCUGCACCUCUGAAAACAGAUGAUUCUGUUUGUGCAAAGUCAUCAGGAACCGAAGAGCAGAAAAGAGAAUAGACGUCAGACAGAUGAGUGAAGCGGUGUGUUUGUGUUUAUAUAACCGAUGUUAGAUAUCUGUGGAGCGACAUGAGAGAUGGACGUCAUUAGAUGCUCCGGAAAUUGGAACGAGGAUUUCUCACAGAGCUUCUGCCCAGUUAUCCAGAGUUCUGCUCUGUGGCACAAAUGACAUCAUCCUCAUUGCUGUAGACACGACUCCAAUUCAUCAAUCUCCUGCUCCAUCCUGCCGUCUCAUGAAAAAGACCCCCGGAUAUAACAUUUAAACUCCUCAGAUUGAGGUAAAGACUCAUUCCAGAUCUGAAAGCAGCUUUCCAUAACGUUAAAAAUGAAGCAGUGCAUAAAGUCAAGGACUCAGAGAUUUCCACAAGAGAACUGAAACGGUUUGGUUUGUUGAAUUCUCGAAGGUUUCUUGCUGAUGGAGCAGGCGCUGGAAGAGUCAGGCUCUGGCAGUUUUCUGACAACAAGUGUGUGAAUGCAGCAGCCAAGUAUUUAUGAAUAGUGGGUGAUGAAUUGAAGCCGACCAGGCCUUGAAUAGCUGCUUCUGUGAUUAAAUGCACAAAUGGAGUGACAGAGAAGGGGGGGGGGCGCAGAACGUAUAGAGGCUUAGCCUAAUUAAAUAAGUCCAGACUGGUUUUUACAGUAAAAAUUCUUUGAUUUGGGUUUUUAAUUUCAGCAUUUUUGAAUUGAGCAAACUAAACAUGAAUAAUUAAUUACCUGUGUGAAAAUCUGCUCACACAAGUUUGUAUUUAUAGUUUAAUUUAGCAUAUGAAAACACCAAAGCAGUGAAGUUUGAGCUUUCAUCUUGUCUUUAUUGUUUCGAGGCUUGUGCUUGUUCUCA